ensembl:lncRNA
AUUGAAUCGUAUAACAGUUAAAAUACCUAGGUUGCUAGCUUGAUCUGAAGUUGAUAUAGGUAGAGAUAUAAUGUUCGUUGUGUGCUGUGUUCUUAAUAACGAUAGAUUUGAAUUAUGACGUGAUUCUAGCUAUUAAAACGGCAGACCGCUGGGGGGGGGGGGCUACACUAACUUGAGAAAAAAACAUGUAACUCAGCUUCACGUAAAUCAGGCAUCAAUGUCAGAUUCACUGUGAUAUCCUAUUUACUCACCUGCAUGUAAGGUUGGAGGAUUUUGGGCCCGGGAUGCGUUCUGAAUGGCACGCUAAGCCCUAUGGGCCCUGGUCUAAAAUAGUGUACUAUAUAGGGAACAGGGCCCUGGUCUAAAGUAGUGCACUAUAUAGGGAAUAGGGCCCUGGUCUAAAAUAAUGUACUAUAUAGGGCCCUGGUCUAAAAUUGUGUACUAUAUAGGAAAUAGGGCCCUGGUCUAAAAUAGUGUACUAUAUAGGGAUUAGGGCCCUGGUCUAAAAUAGUGUACUAUAUAGGGAAUAGGGCCCUGGUCUAAAAUAGUGUACUAUAUAGGGCCCUGGUCUAAAGUAGUGUACUAUAUAGGGAAUAGGGUGUCAUUUGGAACAGAGCUCCAGUGUAAAUAGAUAUGUUUGUGCUGGCUGAGUUGCAUUAGGCCCUGUGAUUUGGUGUGUGUCCCCCCCGGUGUGUAUGUAUGCUAGGGUUUGCAUGGUGUUCCUAUUGCCCUACAGUCACGCAGUAUCCUUUUGCCAAACACCCGGAAUUAUUGUUGGGAGAGGGAGUGAGAGAGUCAGGGUGCGAGAGUGCCAUCAUUUAAGUCUUAGAAAAUUGAACCAAGAUAUUAUUUUUAAGCAAUAAGGUCCCGAGGGGGGUUGUGGUAUAUGGCCAAUAUACCACGGUUAAGGGCUUUUCUUAUGCACGACACAAUGCGGAGUGCCUGGAAACAGCCCUUAGCCGUGUUAUAUUGCCCAUAUACCACAAACCCCCAAGGUGCCUUAUUGCUAUUAUAAACUAGGUGGUUCGAGCCCUGAAUGCUGAUUGACCCGACCAUAUGGGGUAUAUCAGACCGGAUACAACGGUUAUGACAACAUGUAUUUUUACUGCUCUAAUUACAUUGGUAACCAGUUUAUAAUAGAGCCCGAGGUGUGGUGUAUAUGGCCAAUAUACCACGGCUAAGGGCUGUGUCCAGGCACUCAGCGUUGCAUCGUACCGGGUACCAUUUGUGAUGGCCACACGUACCGGGUACCAUUUGUGAUGGCCACACGUACCGGGUACCAUUUGUGAUGGCCACACGUACCGGGUACCAUUUGUGAUGGCCACACGUACCGGGUACCAUUUGUGAUGGCCACACGUACCGGGUAUUGAUAUCUAUUAUUCACUGUCGCAUUAGAAAAGUGUACAGCUCCCCUUAUUCUUCUCAUAAGGUGCAUUUUAAAUGACACUUUGUUCCUCUUAGUGCACUCGUUUCGCCACCUAGGGAGCCUCUGGCCAGAGGUAGAGGCCACUCGUUUCGCCGCCUAGGGAGUCUCUGGCCAGAGGUAGAGGCCACUCGUUUCGCCGCCUAGGGAGUCUCUGGCCAGAGGUAGAGGCCACUCGUUUCGCCACCUAGGGAGUCUCUGGCCAGAGGUAGAGGCCACUCGUUUCGCCACCUAGGGAGUCUCUGGCCAGAGGUAGAGGCCACUCGUUUCGCCGCCUAGGGAGUCUCUGGCCAGAGGUAGAGGCCACUCGUUUCGCCACCUAGGGAGUCUCUGGCCAGAGGUAGAGGCACUAUAUCAGACAAGGUGUCAUGCAUCUAACGACAACCAGGGUUUGGCAAGGGAUAAGUGUUUUUUUAUUUUAUUUUUUAGACCGUGACGAACCUAACCGCAACAGAAAUUAAGUUCAGAUGUAUUUGCACAGACACUUCAUGCACACAUGCAUACAACGCCAGCAGACUGCACACGGCUCACACGGAUGAGUGCUACACAAGGAGAAUCAACUUCCAUUAUCCACCUUGUUGAAGGAACGUAAUUGCAUGUUUUCUUUCUGUGCUAUAUUGGGUUUUCAAUGCGGUAUGUUCACUCAAUGUUUUGCCACUUCCUUAUCGGCACUAUUGAGAUUAUGUGCUUCGAUUUUUAUUUUUAAGAAUACACCUACCCACAAUGCAUCACAUUCACAGCAUCCUUUAAAAUCUCUAUUUUUUAUUUAUUAUUUUUUUUAGGAGAAAAUGACAUUUUAAGUUUUGACAUUUUUUUCUUGAGGAAGUGCAGGGGUGAGUACUGUCUGGUAAUAUGCUCAGUUGAAAAAUAUACAGGAUAAAAACAUUAUAGUGAUUUCAUGUGGAGAGUUGGAAAAUAAACACAUUCGUUAGAUUAGCAUUGAAAUCGUGACCAUCAACUGGAUGGAAAAACGUUUCAAAUUCAUAGAAUGAAAAUGUAAAAGUUGUUUGCUGAGCAGUUAGCUGAAAUCCAUUGUUUAUUUCCCACUUUGUUGGUGAACUGCUUACAUUCACUUUGUCAUUUUCAAAUUAAAAAAAAAAAUAAAAAUCAAACUCUUCCACAUGUCAAUUAUUACGUUGUCUUUUAACCUUUUUUUGUUUUAUCUUCAACCUAGGUAUUAUGGAAGCCUUUUCUCCUUUCUGCUACAUGACUGAAAAUAUGGUUAGAUUGAUAUGCCCUUAAGACACAGAUCUAGGAUCAGCUUGCCCUCCUUUAAAUCCUGACCUGUAACAUUUUAAUGGGGCAAAAGCAAAACUGAUCAUAGAUCAGUCUCUGGGUUGAGUGGAGCCUAAACAGUUUAGUGGUGACAGUUUGACUGACCGGCACUGUGUGAGGUAGCGAUAGAUGUACAAUUUGUAUGUCCUCAUCAGUCACAGCUUGUUCUGUGGAUCCACUGUUUCCCCUGGUUGAGCAGAACCAAACUGGUUUGAGGUAAACAAAAUCAGAAUUUACAGAGCUGUUUUUAUUUCAAACGUAAUGCCUAAACUUUCAUUUUGGAAGGACAUCUGUAACUCAUCUUUAAAAAAAAAUAUAUAUAUAUAUAUAUAUAUAUAUUUUACUUGAUAUGCUAGCUAUGAGGACCCUAAUCAUUGCACAUGUUUAUAUAGAAAAUCAUCCCCUAUGGUUAUAUUGUCCUUCCUGACGUGAUGUCUCGGUAGGUUGACCCUGUGAGGAUGCGGGCCAUGACUUUGUACAAUGUCAUAGCUUGUUAUUAUGUUCAAUCUGCAAAAUUGUGUUUUUUCAUGGUCUGCAAAAUGGUGAUUUUUCAUGGUCUGCAAAAAUGGUGAUUUUUCAUGGUCUGCAAAAAUGGUGAUUUUUCAUGGUCUGCAAAAAUGGUGAUUUUUCAUGGUCUGCAAAAAUUGUGAUUUUUCAUGGUCUGCAAUGGUUACGGACACGUUGCCCUUUGGUUGACAUGCAAAAUGUAUUGACGUUGGUGAGAGACUAAGCUUGUCAUUGAUCUAACAUGGACAGUAAGUAACAGUAAUAGGCUAUUAUAGGAAUCUAUGCACUUUGGUCCUCUAAAGGGAAAUGGUUGUCCACAGAACAAGUGUUCCAAACUGACAUUUUGAGACUAAAUAAAUCUUGGAAAACAUGAAAAAAUUUGCUAAAGAACUUUUGACUCUACAUCACUAACAAGUGGGAGGAGCAUUUAUAAAAUCAGAAGUCCUCUCCUUGUUUUUUUUUCUCUCGACUUCUGCGUGCAGUCUACCAACAGACUUCCAGAAAAGUAUAAUAAAAAUAAAAACACAAAAUAAACAAAUAUAUUUAUAUUUAUGAAGAAAAACAAGUGCCAAUCCUGACCAAUUAAAGACUUGAGGGUGAUUUACAAGUAACUUUUGACUUGAUUCAUUUAAUUUUCUUAAUAUUUCCUUGAAUGUGCACACGUUUUGUGCAAAAACAUUGCUGCUCUAUUUUCCUCGUCUUAUAGUUCCAUGAUGUGGUGUCUCUGAAAGUGGCAUUCUCUACUGCUUUUGCACUGUGGGAUUGGGUCAGAACAGUCAUUUUAAAUCGGCAAAAAAAAUAACUAAUUUAUUCCAUCAUGCUGAUCCGUCUAACUAAAUAUUGAUGCUCUCUUUCUUUUUUGUACAGUAUAAUGCAUUGUUGAUUUCACUGUGCAGACCUCACACUGCAGCUGGGGGACAGACAGCCUAGACAUUCGUUAGAAAGAUGCAGGGCCAUCAAGUGUAAUUUUAGCCUGAGGCAAAGACUGCACUGCACAUUAUUAGGGCCCUGAUUUUUUCCUAGUCAGGUCACAUGGUCUGGAAAAGCUCCCGGCCCUGUUUAUCAGGUCAGUUAUCGUAUCAGGCCAAUACAGGGCCACGUUCAGUAGCCAAACGUUGCAAAUGGAAAUGCCACAAAUGGAGAGCCAACGUUGUUCCAUAUUUAACAUGUCAUGUUUGUUUUUUUACAUAGAAAUAUUUCUAUCUGAACGUUUGAAAAAUGUUGCGUUCUUGCUGAACGUGCCCCGAGGUUUCUCCACCUAAACUACCAUGUUUGCACAUAAUGAGUCAAACCCAUCUUAUCACAAAGAACUAAACAGCCAAUUCAAAAUGGACACUAACCGAAGUUUAAAUAAAAAAAAUAAAAAAAUGUAAAAAAUUUUCUUUCUUGAUUUUGAGCAGCUAUACCAUUACAUGGAUAUGGAUGGUUCUAGAAUGUUUCAGUGGCAUAAUCUUCUUGGCUGUCCAGACCCAGUCAAUCAACCAAAACAACCAAUCACUUGUCCUGAGACUUCUCUCAGCUAUUUCUUGAUUUAGCACAAGGACUCAGAGACACUUCUCUUGAGAUGGGAAGCUAAAUGGAAGCUACGUUAUUGGCUGAGAAUGAACAACCUAACAAGUAAUGCAAUAAAUAUUCUCCAAAAGUCGGCCAUCCCAAGAGGUUUAACCUGCGUCCCGAAGUGCACCCUAUUCCCUAUUUAAUGAACAACUUUUGACCAGGAGUCCAUGAAGUUCUGGUCAAAAAAUAGUGCACAAUAUACCCCCACAGUGGAGGUGUAAUAAUACCCAUAAAACCUAGUGGUCAAACGGAAAUAAUUCUAAUAGUGUUUUUUCCAACCAUUAGAUUUUUUUCCCCAUAGGUGAUUUUUAGAAACACUUAAAAUAAGGGCUGUGUUUUGUGUAGGCUUUACCCCGAUGUGAUGUGUUGAUAACCGUGUAGAUCUCUCUAGGACAAGGUGACUCAAUAUUAUUCGGCUCUCUUUUUACUCACAGAAUUGAAAAUACUUAAAAGUAGACAUCAUGCAAGACUACAAAUCCCUGCAUGCUUCUCCAUGUCAUCUCUAGCUGACAUCUUUGCUAACAGGUAUUGUGUCAAUUUAAAACGUGCACAAGACAGUUCACAGAAUUGUACAUUUUAAUUAAAGAAAUGUAGCUAAUUUAUUCAUUAAUCCAUUUAGCUAGCAUUAGAUUAGAAUCCAGAGAUUCUUACCUUUGCCUUGAUACGUCAGUCAUCAUGGUAUUUGUAGUUCUUUAUAAUAGCCACAUUAGCAGCUAAUUAGCAUUUCGUUUUGGUGGGAGAGUACAGGCAAACAUAAUAAGUCACCUUGUCCGGUAGAGAUUUGAGCGGUUAUCAAAACAUCACGUCAGGGUAGCCCACUGAGAUGACUGCAGGGAUUUGGGUCACGGCCAGGGUAAGCCUACACAGCCCAUGUUUUAAGUGUUCCUAAAAAUAAAUAAAAAACUGGGAGAAAUGGAUGAUGGGAAAAAAUUGGUGCCAUUUCCCUGUUUGACCACUAUGUUUUAUAGGCAUUAUGACUCAUACUGUGGUACAUUUUAUAGAGGGAAUAGUGGCAUUUUGGGAGGGAGCUUAAGACUUCUUUUUCAGGUGUUUGCCCUCUUCAAGAGGGCAAUUAACAGAGAUGACUGGUCAACAGUUUCCUAGAACAAAUCUGGGAUGCAGGAAGGUGAAAUUUACAUUAAAAAAAUGAUAAUCAAGUGUCCAAGUGGAACUAUGUGUAUGAUUUAUAAUUUGGGGGGGUGCUUAUAUUUUGUUCUCUUACACACAAGUGUGUAAUGAAAAUAUAUAUAUUUUGUUUGUUGCAUAUCUGACUCCCACUGAGACGACUGCAGGGAUUCAUUUGGGUCACGGCCAGGGUCGCCAUUGUACAAUGCCCCUGUAAAUAUGUCCAUUAGCUGGAGGAAUCAUCCAUAUUUUUUAAUGACUGCUGAAAUGCUUUUUAAGGCAUAGUAAAGGGAUAGGAGUUUUUCCCUUGACCUAAUGACAAGGAGAAACUGUCUGUGUCCCAAAUGGGCACUUAUAUACCCUAUAUAGUGCACUACUUUUGACCAGAGACCUAUUAGGUCCUGGUCAAAAAUGGCGAACCACAUAGGGAAUAGGGUGCCAUUUGCUCUAGUGUCUGUUUCCCUGUCAGGCCCUUUGGUCAGGAAGAACUCCUAGGCAUGGAUUUAAAAAAUAUAUAUAAUUAAAAUACAUUUUGAAAUGGGAUUUUUUUUUUGUCUUCUGGCCUAGAUUGUGUAAAUGUGUAUAACUGAGACAAAGGUGUCUGAAAAUCCCAAGCCACGCCUUAGUGCUUGGCUUUGUCAAAUAAAUGAUGCUAUCUAGGCUAUAAUUGUUUACAAUGCUACAUGUUUAUAAAGUGUUUUUUCAUAUGUCAUAACUGACCAGUCCUGAUGUAUUCUCUGGUCCUCUCAUUUCGCUCUCUUUCAUCAAUGUAUUUAUUUACACAACAAAUAUUUUUAUUCUUUUUUUUUUUGCUUAUGAUAACCCAUAUUAUACUGUGACUUGACAUUACCGACGGUAUGAAUGAGUGACUGAUACACUUCAACUGAACAUGACACACAAACAUGAACACAGAAACAAACAAAUGCAUUAACAAAUAUUAGAAAUGUAUAAAAAAAAUAAACUUGUCCAGUGGAAACUGUACAAAACAAAUCCCCGAGAAAUAAAAUGUUGCAACCC